rnacentral:rRNA from 1 species
AGUGAACGCUGGCGGUAUGCCUAACACAUGCAAGUCGAACGGCAGCACAGUAAGAGCUUGCUCUUACGGGUGGCGAGUGGCGGACGGGUGAGGAAUACAUCGGAAUCUACUUUUUCGUGGGGGAUAACGUAGGGAAACUUACGCUAAUACCGCAUACGACCUACGGGUGAAAGCAGGGGAUCUUCGGACCUUGCGCGAUUGAAUGAGCCGAUGUCGGAUUUGCUAGUUGGCGGGGUAAAGGCCCACCAAGGCGACGAUCCGUAGCUGGUCUGAGAGGAUGAUCAGGCACACUGGAACUGAGACACGGUCCAGACUCCUACGGGAGGCAGCAGUGGGGAAUAUUGGACAAUGGGCGCAAGCCUGAUCCAGCCAUACCGCGUGGGUGAAGAAGGCCUUCGGGUUGUAAAGCCCUUUUGUUGGGAAAGAAAAGCAGCAGGUUAAUACCCCGCUGUUCUGACGGUACCCAAAGAAUAAGCACCGGCUAACUUCGUG